rnacentral:SRP_RNA from 1 species
GCCGGGCAUGGUGGUGCAUGCCUGUAAUCCCAGCUACUUGGGAGGCUGAGGCAGGAGAAUUGCUUGAACCCGGGAGGUGGAGGUUGCAGUGAGCCGAGAUCAUGCCACUGCACUCCAGCCUGGGCAACAGAGUGAGACUCCGUCUCAA